GCGCCUAUAGCUCAAUGGACAGAGCGACUGGCUUCGGACCAGUAGGUUCCAGGUUCGAGUCCUGGUAGGCGCG
rnacentral:tRNA from 1 species